GGAAUUACCCAGCGCCCUGGGCAGCUUAUACAACCUGCAAACCUUGCGACUUGUUCGUUGCGUGAAUCUGAAAAAAGUAGAUGUCCGAAGGCUGAUUAACUUGAGGCAUCUUUAUGUUGAAGGCUGUUGGGAGCUAAAGUUAAUUGAAGGGAUUGAGAAAUUAACAGAUCUGCAAAGGCUAGAUCAGUUUGUUGUCCCAAUUAUCGGUGGUGAUGAAGGAAACAAGUUGGAACAUCUGAAAGACUUGAACCAGCUUCAAGGGAGUCUUGCUAUUCGUAUUCUGGGAAAUCCAAAUAUGGCGGAGAAUGCAGCAGCAAUCAUGGUGAAUAAGGCUCACCUCCUGGAAUUGAGACUAGAGUUUUACUCGGUUGAUGAAGGAAAGCAUGGAGAAAUUAUGAAUGGCUUAGAGCCGCAUCCAGAUUUGGAAUCUUUAUACAUCUGGUUUUAUAAAGGUGGCGCCUUCUCCCAUUGGUUGUCGUAUUUACACAGCUUGAGAAUGCUCAUCCUUGAGACUUGCACGGAAUGUGGGGUUUUGCCUCCUUUAGGGAAACUGGCGUCCCUUGAAUCAUUGCAUAUUGUGCAACUCCAUGGAGUCUCAAAGGUAGGAGUUGAGUUUUUGGGAAUAGAUGAUGGGCAAACCUCCUCAUCGUCUUCCAUUUUCAUAUCAUUCCCCAAGCUUAAACAACUCGGCUUCUACAACAUGGGGCCAUGGGAAGAGUGGGUAGGAGUGGAAAAUAAUAAUAUUACAAUCAUGCCAUGCCUCUCUCAAUUGACAAUUGGGUACUGCUACAAGCUAAAAGCACUGCCGGACUUCCUGUGGGAGACACCACUACAGAAAUUGCACAUCUUUAGAUCUCCAAUUCUCCAAGACCUUUACAGACAAGGAAUAGGUGAGAAGUGGGCCAAGAUCCCAACCAUCGUGAUAGAAGACUAAUCUGGAUGACGCAUCUCAAAGGCUUCAGCUUCUCUUGAAACAAGCACAGUUCUCUAUCAUUCGUCAUAUUUCAACCUGGGAUGCAUGUCCAAUGGAAGUCAAUAUUGGAGCUAGGGGACAAGGGAACAUCAAUUGAGCAUCAGGCAUUGUCUUCCCCCCUACCCUUCAGAUACAUCAGUGAUUAGUUGAGCAUGAGCUAGCAGAGUUAUAGCAUAGACCAAACCUAGGAGGGUACGAAAGAGGUCAAACACUUGAGGUGGUCAUACAUGUGCUUCCUCAGAUCGAUGCUCAACUUUCUAUCAAUUUUAGCCGUAUUCACCUUGAUUUUUUCAGGAUACAGAUGAUCAUUCAUGCCCACGUGAAUAGCUAAAGGGAUUCUUGGACUUCCAAUUCCAAUACUAGAUGAUCUUCACCACUAAGAUGUGAACCGCACCAGGCUGCUUGUACUGCUCGUAUUGAAGCUGCAUGCAUAAGCAUUCAUCAUGGCAUCUGAAUUUGGGAAACUGCAUAAGUACCAACUUGUAGAUUAUAUUAUAACUUGAAGUUCUUGGUUUUCAAGUUGGACUAUUAGCAAGUCUCGUAAAACCUUUUGAUUAAUUACAUGGACCGAGGACGGUCUAGUCAAGAAUAUCGAUCUCUUCCAUUGUCUGGACUUUAUUAGACUUACUGGGAAGCUAUGCAAGGUUAUGACAAUGAGCUGUCAUUGGAGAAGUUAAACUUGGGAUUGUUCCUUUGGUCUAAGUAGGUUAUGCUAGCUUGUGUAUCCUUCUGCUCGUCUAAGUUAUAUCAUCAUUGUUUAUAUAGGUACAUAACUCCUGCCAUAGAAUUCUAAAUUUGCAUGUUUUAGUAUAUUUGGUGUUUAUCAGUAAUUAGCAAGGAAAAAGAAGUGAGAAUAUUGAUGCAUUAUAUAGACAUGAGAAUGAUGCAUCAGAUGGUUUUCUUGAGAGAUUAAUGUUUGAGUGUGAUAUAGGUGAUCAUGACUGUCAGGAGCUUAAGAGGUUACAAACAGCACCAGUUAGAGACAUGUUCUUAAAGCAUUGAAAGAAGGCAUGAGGUUACUGAAGGCUGCCAGUUUGAAGACCUUCCUGUUUGGUUAUGAUACUCUUCUUCCUCUAAUGCUGGAACUUGGGUCCCUAU